rnacentral:tRNA from 1 species
UGGACGUGGUGGGGGAAGACACCGCCCCAGGGUAACCGCCCCCGCCGGGGGCUCCCGCACUCAGCGGUUCAAGGCCGCUUCGACCAGCC